CUGGUGGUGAAGGUGUAGUAGUAGGUUUUUCUGUUGUGGUUGGCUCCUCAGUUGUAGUUGUUGUUGGUUGGGUUGUCACUUUUGUGGUUGUGGUUGGCUCUGCAGUUGUAGUUGUUGGUUCAGAUGUCGUAGUUGAAGAUUCUGUGGUAAUGACUGGUGGUGAAGUUGUAGUAGUAGGUUUUGCUGUUGUGGUUGGC